rnacentral:rRNA from 1 species
UACGGGGGGAGCAAGCGUUGUUCGGAUUUACUGGGCGUAAAGGGCGCGUAGGCGGUCAGCACAAGUCAGUUGUGAAAUCUCCGGGCUUAACCCGGAAAGGUCAACUGAUACUGCAGGGCUAGAGUGCAGAAGGGGCAACUGGAAUUCUCGGUGUAGCGGUGAAAUGCGUAGAUAUCGAGAGGAACACCUGCGGCGAAGGCGGGUUGCUGGGCUGACACUGACGCUGAGGCGCGAAAGCUAGGGGAGCGAACGGG